GAUGAACGCUGGCGGCGUGCCUAACACAUGCAAGUCGAACGAAGCUCCUAAACUUGAGUUUUCGGACAAGAGUGAGGGAAGACUUAGUGGCGGACGGGUGAGUAAUGCGUGAGCAACCUGCCCUUCGGAGGGGGACAACAGUUGGAAACGACUGCUAAUACCGCAUAAUGUGCAGAUAUCGCAUGGUAACUGCACCAAAGAUUUAUCGCCGAGGGAUGGGCUCACGUCUGAUUAGCUAGUUGGUAAGGUAAAGGCUUACCAAGGCUUCGAUCAGUAGCCGGACUGAGAGGUUGACCGGCCACAUUGGGACUGAGAUACGGCCCAGACUCCUACGGGAGGCAGCAGUGGGGAAUAUUGGGCAAUGGGCGCAAGCCUGACCCAGCAACGCCGCGUGAAGGAAGAAGGCUUUCGGGUUGUAAACUUCUUUUUUAGGGGACGAAACAAAUGACGGUACCCUAAGAAUAAGCUCCGGCUAACUACGUGCCAGCCGCCGCCG
rnacentral:rRNA from 1 species